AGCGAACGCUGGCGGCGUGCCUAACACAUGCAAGUCGAACGUGAAAAGGGGCAACCCUGAGUAAAGUGGCGUACGGGUGAGUAACGCGUAGGUAAUCUACCAGAGAGUCUGGAAUAACCUGCCGAAAGGCGGGCUAAUACUGGAUAGAGCGACGGAAUCCGUAAUUGGGUUUUUCGGGAAAGGGAGGACGCAAGUCCCUUCGCUCUCUGAUGAGCCUGCGUCUCAUUAGCUAGUUGGUGGGGUAAUGGCCCACCAAGGCAUUGAUGGGUA
rnacentral:rRNA from 1 species